AUGAGGAGGGGACUGGCUCUGCCCUUGUGCAGGGAGCAAGCAGUGGUCAAGGCCCUGACACCUGCAUCUGCCUCCCUGGGAGCCUCGGUCAAGCUCACCUGCACCCUGAGCAGUGGAUACAGCAACUAUGGCAUUGCGUGGCAUCAGCAGCAGCCGGGGAAGGCCCCUCGGUACUUGAUGUGGCUUAAGAGUGAUGGAAGCCACAGCAAGGGGGACGGGAUCCCCGAUCGCUUCUCGGGCUCCAGCUCCGGGGCUGACCGCUACUUAACCAUCUCCAACAUCCACUCUGAGGACGAGGCUGACUAUUACUGUCAGACCUGGGGCAGUGGUAAUAAUCACAGUGACACAGGCAGAUGAGGAAGUGGGACAAAAACCUCAGCCUGCUCAGGGUGUUGUUCUGUGACGAUUUUCAAAUUUUAAAAUAUGUUAAACGUAUACAAGCUUGAAAGCGCCUGGUGUUUUCAAAUAUUUCUACUCUUAAUUUUCCUUCAAUGUUUCUGAAGUCUCAGGAAAACUAAAAAUGAA